GAUCUGAGCUGGAGGCGAGAGCGUACAAGCGAUCGUGAGCACCAAGGGAACUGAGCCGCUGAUGGGUUUCGUGCACAAAGAGGCAGCGAUUGCUCCAAAGUGCUCCAAAAAGCUCCCAAAAGAGUCUACCACAUACUCUGAGUGAGAAACCGUAUUCGCUACAUGGCACCUCAGGUCGCCUGCUUCUGUCUGUAGUGGACCAUCCACAAACUCUUCAAUGCAAUAGCAUAAGAAUGGCAUCCCAGCAGUCGUAGGAACACUACACAACAGACAGUCGUCGCCUGUGUACCACUGCGCUCAGAAAAAGUGCAAGGGCGAGUGGAACUGGGAUGGUCCUGCAACUGAAUUUGUCCGUUGUCCGCUAUGUUUCAGCGUCAACUGUCUAGCGUGUCAGGCGAUACAUCCUGGAGUCACAUGUGCGCAACACGUAUUAAGCAUCGUCGAGAAAAUUGAUAAAGGAGCUCUACAGGAUGAUCACCGUAGGGCUAAAAGACUUGAGGAGCACAUUCAAGUUUACAAGCAGGACUUGGUCAGCAACGCGGAAGACUUUUCUUGCUCACUAUGCCUGGUGGAUGUUAGUGCAGGGAAAGGAAUUCAACUGAAGAACUGUCAUCAUAUGCUGUGCAGGCAGUGCGUUCUUAGUGCUAUACAGCGAUCUGGAACCGUUGCUGUGAAGUGCCCGUACAAAAGCGGCGAUGUCUACUGCAAGAUGGACGUGUCUGUCAGCGAGAUUAAGGCCCUUUUAAGUCCGGAAGAGUACGAAGAAUACCUAGAAAGAAGUUUGAUGGAAGUUAAGAUAGCCGUGAAGGAAUAUUUUCAUUGUCGGACGCCAAAGUGUCCCUGGUGGUGCUUCUACGAACCAGGACUGGCGGAAAUCACAUGCAAGUUGUGUCAGAAGGUCAACUGCAUGAGGUGCGACGUGAUACAUAAAGGAGAAUCCUGUGACAAGUAUCGCGCCAGCAAGAUGCAAAUAGUUUUAGUGCCAAGGCCUACACCGGAGGAAUACAUGAGGGUCUUUUUUAUUUGCUGCUUUCACGUGUCAUACAUUGCGUGCAUCGCAUAUUUCGUAUUGAAGAGCCUGUUUUUUUCGACGAUAGAUGUCGCCUUCCCCCCAUUUGAGCCGUCAGAGGACGAACUUGAAUAGGUGGGCACAAGAGCUGAAAAGUACACAUACCACUAAAUAUGAUAUGCAUAUUGAAAUUUUGUCCUCUGAUUGGUUACCCCGGAAUUAAAUAUGUGCACCGAAUUGCUUGCAACAGUGAGUGAGUGACUGCGAGUUCCACUCAUCGUCAGAUAGGAUAGCGCCAUUGAUGCGAUCUGGCCGUCGCUAGCACCGACGGUCAGGUGCAUAGUUUCUUGUGAGCAUAUUCGAACUUUCAGUUCGAUAGAAGUCUUGAAGCAACCAAGACUGGAAGGUGUUGCUGUGUCUUUUCUUUUUCGUAUUGCUAAGACUGUACUCGGUGCCUGUUCAAGUGACUGUGCUUCAGUAAACAUAUCUUGUGUUAACUACACUUCAGUGCCAGAGUUGAUUUUCUUCCUUGUUUGGUUUGACUGUUCAUGCGAAUAAAUAUUUAUGACAAAGUGUC